rnacentral:rRNA from 1 species
AUUGAACGCUGGCGGCAGGCCUAACACAUGCAAGUCGAGCGGAUGAAGGGAGCUUGCUCCUGGAUUCAGCGGCGGACGGGUGAGUAAUGCCUAGGAAUCUGCCUGGUAGUGGGGGAUAACGUCCGGAAACGGGCGCUAAUACCGCAUACGUCCUGCGGGAGAAAGUGGGGGAUCUUCGGACCUCACGCUCUCAGAUCAGCCUAGGUCGGAGUAGCUAGCUGGUGGGGUAAAUGCCUACCAAGGCGACGAUCCGUAACUGGUCUGAUAGGAUGAUCAGUCACACGGGAACUGGAACACGGUCCAGGCUCCUAAGGUAGGGAGCAGUGGGGAAUGUUGGACAGUGGGCGAAAGCCUGAUACAGCCAUGCCGCGUGUGUGGAAGAGGUCUUCGGAUUGGAAAGCACUUUAAGUGGGGAGGAAGGGCAGUAAGUUAAUACCUUGCUGUUUUGACGUUACCAACAGAAUAAGCACCGGCUAACUACGUG